UCGACGUCAUUCAGCAGUACCAGCCCACUGCUGCAGUCCCACAGCAAGCACAAGUCUGAACUUUUCUCAACGCCGAUAGAUAACAAACCGGGUUGAUUAAGGAAAGAGUGCAACUGCACUUUUAUACUCUCAUUAAGGUUAAUUGCAAGUGGAGUAAUGUCAUUUUGUUCCUUCUUCGGUGGUGAGGUCUUUAAAGACCACUUUAAAACUGGGUUGUAUGUGUGUGCCCAGUGUGGACACCAGCUGUUCUCCAGCAGAUCUAAGUAUGAGCAUUCCUCCCCCUGGCCUGCCUUCACUGAGACCGUCCUCCAGGACAGUGUGUCCAAGCACGAGGAGAGACCUGGGGCAUUCAAGGUCCGAUGUGGGAAGUGUGGAAACGGACUGGGUCAUGAGUUUGUGGGAGACGGGCCAAAGAAAGGGCUCUCACGUUUCUGAAUAUUCAGCAGCUCACUGAAGUUCGUCCCUAAAGAUAAGGUAGAUGGACAGUAAGGUGAGCAGCAGGGGUAUGGAGUCACAGUGAUGGUAGAGCAGUAGGAUUGUCUGGAGUCUCUGUGCUGCUGAAGGUGUGCAGGACAGUGGAUGAAGUGUCCUGGAAUAAAGCCCACUUUGGGACCUCCAGGACACUGAUGGUCAAUGUCUUCGCUGGACAAGGACAGAGAAACUCCUCCCAAAUAGUCAGCUACAUUAUGCAAUAAUACACCAUCAUAAUAUAACAAUGAUACACAAUCAUAACACAGACAAGUACAAGGAGUUACACCAUAACACAAAGAUAGUCUGUCACUUAAUCAUUGUUUUAUUUUUUAUCUUAACAUUGUCAGUCAAAUGGGGGAUCACUAUGUAGCCUUCAUAGUGGUGAAUGUAACUUCAGGAUGUCCUCAUUUAUAGUAGUGAAAGCAAACAAAAGUGGCUCAAUCUACCAAUGUAUGUUAAUCAGUUCUAUCAAUGAUGUUAUGAGCCUCUUAAAGAUAGACAGUGAUGUAAAUAAAAUCUCAAUGGUCUUAACGGUCACAAUGUAUAGUAUGCAAACAAAAAGAGAAAUUAAACUGAGAAAUAAAGAUGUACUUUUAUAGAAGAUUA